GGCCUCAUCGUCUAGUCUGGUUAGGACGCUUGGUUCUCAGCCAAGAAACGCCAGUUCAAAUCUGGUUGAGGCCACCA
rnacentral:tRNA from 1 species